rnacentral:rRNA from 1 species
AUUGAACGCUGGCGGCAGGCUUAACACAUGCAAGUCGAGCGAGCGGCGGACGGGUGAGUAAUGUCUGGGAAACUGCCUGAUGGAGGGGGAUAACUACUGGAAACGGUGGCUAAUACCGCAUACUAUCAGAUGUGCCCAGAUGGGAUUAGCUAGUAGGUGGGGUAAUGGCUCACCUAGGCGACGAUCCCUAGCUGGUCUGAGAGGAUGACCAGCCACACUGGAACUGAGACACGGCCCAUACUCCUACGGGAGGCAGCAGUGGGGAAUAUGGCACAAUGGGCGAAAGCCUGAUGCAGCCAUGCCGCGUGUAUGAAGAGGGCCUUCGGGUUGUAAAGCACUUUCAGCGAGGAGGCGUUACUCGCAGAAGAAGCACCGGCUAACUCCGUGCCAGCAGCCGCGGUAAUUC